rnacentral:lncRNA from 1 species
GUCAUUUAAUCGCGCUUUUGUUGCAUGUUUUCCCCCACUUUUUCAUGUGCAUGUCUUGUUGUACUAGUAUGUGUUCAUUUUAAAAAUUAUACCCUCUACCGUAAAAAAAGAUAUAUAUGGUGAACUUUGUAUUUAAAGCACGUUUUAUUUUCUCCUACCUAUAGGAUAAUACUCUCAUAUAAAUACGUUUUAUAUCAACACCAUUAAUCAUUUGAUACAAAAAUGUUGUUAUACAAAUACGGAUAUUUCUUAGAAUUGACGACCAUCCUUUAAAAGUUACGGUCAUCAUUUAGAAAUUACGGUCAUCCUUUGCAAAUUAAGGUCAUCUUUUAAACAAUUACGGUCACCCUUGUUAUGAAUUGCUGAUUCUGUUACGGUCAUCUCGAUUGUGAUUUACGGUCAUCUUAGCGAUUUUUUUAAAUCGAAUUUCCUGUUUCAUGCACAUUUCUCGGAAGUAAUUUGUGAUUUCCGUGUGAAUCUUUUAUAAAUUUACAUCGUAUCGAUGUCUCCUUUGUAAGGAAAAU